rnacentral:lncRNA from 1 species
CUCGAGGUGGGAAUGGUGUACGUGCUGUAACCAGAACGUGGCGGUGAUGGGUGACUGCGAUCUCUGCGUCCGGUUUUCGCUGCGUGAACUACGGAUCUCUCUGCUGUCUGAUGUGCUAUUAGAGCAUCUCCAACAACGUGACCUAUAAAAAUGUCUUAUAAUUUAAAAAUAAGUAAAUUUUAUAGAAUUUAGGGCACCAACAAAGCACCCCGCUCCAACAGUAAAGCCCCAAAUCUAGAUUAUAGGGCAGCCCAC